rnacentral:rRNA from 1 species
UACAGAGGGUGCAAGCGUUGUUCGGAAUUACUGGGCGUAAAGCGCGUGUAGGCGGCGGCGUAAGUCCGAUGUGAAAGCCCUUGGCUUAACCAAGGAAGUGCAUCGGAUACUGCGUCGCUUGAGUGCCGGAGGGGAUGGCGGAAUUCCCGGUGUAGAGGUGAAAUUCGUAGAUAUCGGGAGGAACACCUGUGGCGAAGGCGGCCAUCUGGACGGUAACUGACGCUGAGACGCGAAAGCGUGGGUAGCAAACAGG